UGUUGUGCCACCCAUGUCGCCGAUGCCUAAAUCUGCCACUGUGAACAUUUUACAAUUCUCAUAGCGGGUGUAUACUUGUGAAUUUACCAAUUGUCCAGCAGCUUCCCGGAGAGAGAUUUUGUGUCUUACCCAAAACAACAACAUGUGUCCUACACUCGUCAGCAGCAGGUGUCUUGAAAAAAAAUAUUGCUGGUGUGAUUUUGAAAGCUUUAAUGCAAAAAAAAAACAAAAACCAAAACGUCAGUUUUAAGGGACAAUCCCCCUGGAACAACCUGGAGUUAAGUGCCUUGCUCAAGGACACAAUGAUGGUGACUGUGGGAUUGAACCAACAACCUUCUGAUUACCAGAACAUGAAACCACUCUCAGCAACAACCAAACCAACUGAACCAGCAAAAAUCACCAGCAGACUGAAUACAUGACGAUGGGUCAAGCCGCAAUCACACAAUCUCUCUCUGUAUAAUAUCUUAAAAAAUGUUCAUUCUUUUGAAAAAGAAUUUUUUUUUUAUUAAAGAACAAUGAACAUA